GAUGAACGCUGGCGGCGUGCCUAAUACAUGCAAGUCGAGCGAACGGACGAGAAGCUUGCUUUUCUGAUGUUAGCGGCGGACGGGUGAGUAACACGUGGAUAACCUACCUAUAAGACUGGGAUAACUUCGGGAAACCGGAGCUAAUACCGGAUAAUAUUUUGAACCGCAUGGUUCAAAAGUGAAAGACGGUCUUGCUGUCACUUAUAGAUGGAUCCGCGCUGCAUUAGCUAGUUGGUAAGGUAACGGCUUACCAAGGCAACGAUGCAUAGCCGACCUGAGAGGGUGAUCGGCCACACUGGAACGGAGACGCGGUCCAGACUCCUACGGGAGGCAGCAGUAGGGAACCUUCCGCAGUGGGCGAGAACCUGACGGAGCAACGCCGAGUGAGUGAUGAAGGUCUUCGGAUCGUAAAACUCUGUUAUUAGGGAAGAACAUAUGUGUAAGUAACUGUGCACAUCUUGACGGUACCUAAUCAGAAAGCCACGGCUAACUACGUG
rnacentral:rRNA from 1 species